GAUUUAAAAACUUCUGAAGGGAAAUAUAUUUACCUGUUUGUAUACUUGCCGUAAGUACAUGAUUUCCUCCACAGUUCCCAAGGAUAUCAGCCUAAACACUUUGACAUCUCUG